rnacentral:rRNA from 1 species
UACUAGAGUAGCACUCGCAUAUCAAUAAGCGGAGGAAAAGAAACUAACAAGGAUUCCCCUAGUAACGGCGAGUGAAGCGGGAAGAGCUCAAAUUUGAAAUCUUAAAGGGUUUCCCUUUACGAAUUGUAGUUUAAAGAAGUGUUUUCUGUUGAGGUUUUGGUAAAAGUUCUUUGGAAUAGGACAUCAUAGAGGGUGAGAAUCCCGUAUUUGACCUUUACUUUCAACUUUGUGAUACACUUUCAAAGAGUCGGAUUGUUUGGGAAUGCAGUCCAAAAUGGGUGGUAAAUUUCAUCUAAAGCUAAAUAUUGGCGAGAGACCGAUAGCGAACAAGUACCGUGAGGGAAAGAUGAAAAGAACUUUGAAAAGAGAGUUAAACAGUACGUGAAAUUGUCAAAAGGGAAGCGUUUGACACCAGUGUUGUUUUUCUGAAAAUCAAUUAAAGAACUGUUUAUGCUAAGUUGUUUAGACUUUAUCAGCUAUCUGUUUAGUUUUGAGCUUUUCUUUAAUGCACUUUUCAGUUAACAAGUCAACAUCAAUUUCUUUUGCUGUAAAAAAGCUUGAGGAAGGUGGCUUGAGAUUCGUCUUAAGUGUUUAUAGCCUCUUGCCUAUGCAGUCGGAGAGAUUGAGGUCUGCAGCGUAGAUCCUUCGGGGCUAAAUGCAUUUGUGCUAAGUUAUAGCAUUUUAUAGACAACUUGUUGACUAUGAUUUGUCUUGUAGCUUACUCGCUUAUGUUAUUUUACCUACGCUUAGGAUGUUGAACUCUAUCACACACAG